GCGGUAGUGGCGGAAUGGCAGACGCGCUAGGUUGAGGGCCUAGUGGGGGUUUCCCCGUGGAGGUUCAAGUCCUCUUUACCGCACCA
rnacentral:tRNA from 1 species